rnacentral:rRNA from 1 species
UGGAUUAGUGGCGGACGGGUGAGUAACGCGUGAGUAACCUGCCUUACACAAGGGGAUAGCCUCUGGAAACGGAGAAUAAUACCCUAUGACAUUACAGCCUCGCAUGAAGCAGUAAUCAAAGUGUUAGCGGUGUAAGAUGGACUUGCGUCUGAUUAGCUAGUUGGUGAGAUAACAGCCCACCAAGGCAACGAUUAGUAGCCGGCUUGAGAGAGUGUACGGCCACAUUGGGACUGAGACACGGCCCAGACUCC